rnacentral:rRNA from 1 species
CCUACGGGGGGCAGCAGUGAGGAAUAUUGGUCAAUGGCCGUAAGGCUGAACCAGCCAAGUCGCGUGCAGGAAGAAGGCUCUAUGGGUUGUAAACUUCUUUUAUAGGGGAAUAAAGGUAUCCACGUGUGGAUAUUUGCAUGUACCCUAUGAAUAAGCAUCGGCUAACUCCGUGCCAGCAGCCGCGGUAAUACGGAGGAUGCGAGCGUUAUCCGGAUUUAUUGGGUUUAAAGGGAGCGUAGGUUGUUUUUUAAGUCAGCGGUGAAAGUUUGUGGCUCAACCAUAAAAUUGCCGUUGAAACUGGCAGACUUGAGUGUGUUUGAGGUAGGCGGAAUGCGUGGUGUAGCGGUGAAAUGCAUAGAUAUCACGCAGAACUCCGAUUGCGAAGGCAGCUUACUAAGCCAUAACUGACACUGAAGCACGAAAGCGUGGGGAUCAAACAGGAUUAGAUACCCUUGUAGUC